GAAUAUUGGACAAUGGGCGAAAGCCUGAUCCAGCCAUGCCGCGUGUGUGAAGAAGGCCUUCGGGUUGUAAAGCACUUUUGUACGGGAAGAAACCUUCCGGGCUAAUACCCCGGGAGAAUGACGGUACCGUAAGAAUAAGCACCGGCUAACUUCGUGCCAGCAGCCGAGGUAAUACGAAGGGUGCAAGCGUUACUCGGAAUUACUGGGCGUAAAGCGUGCGUAGGUGGUUCGUUAAGUCUGCCGUGAAAGCCCCGGGCUCAACCUGGGAAUUGCGGUGGAUACUGGCGGACUAGAGUGCGGUAGAGGGUGGUGGAAUUCCCGGUGUAGCAGUGAAAUGCGUAGAGAUCGGGAGGAACAUCUGUGGCGAAGGCGGCCACCUGGACCAGCACUGACACUGAGGCACGAAAGCGUGGGGAGCAAACAG
rnacentral:rRNA from 1 species